GGGGGUGAAUCAGGUUCGACACGGGCCGGGAUGGCAACCGUUGCGAGCCGAGCUUCCCUGACUCGUUAAACCGGGGAAUUCAAAUAAAGUGCCAACAACAACACUGCUCUAGCUGUUGCUGCGUAAGCAGCCUGCUACGCCUGCCCGGUAACGCCCGCUAACCGGACCAGGUGUCAUCUAGCGGGAUCGCUCCGGCCGAGUGCCUGGUAGGUCGGGGGACUCUUACAGGCUGGUCCUGCUCGGACCCGGCUCUCGCGGGUCUGGCGGGACGAGAGCAAGGCGAGAGCUACGCUCGUAGAAGCGGUUGUGGUCCUGCUCGUGGACAGCGGUGCAACUCCGCUCACCUCCACCA
rnacentral:tmRNA from 1 species